GGAGUUUGGACCGUGUCUCAGUUUCCAAUGUGGGGGACCUUCCUCUCAGAACCCCUACUGAUCGUAGCCUUGGUGGGCCGUUACCCCGCCAACAAGCUAAUCAGACGCAUCCCCAUCCUUAACCGACAAAAUCUUUGGUCCGGGUCAGAUGCCCUCGCUGGACCACAUCGGGCAUUAAUCCGGUUUUCACCGGGCUAUUCCCAAGUUAAGGGAAGGUUGGAUACGCGUUACUCACCCAUUCGCCGGUCGCCAUCAGAGACAGCAAGCUGCCUCCAUGAUGCCCCUCGACUUGCAUGUGUUAAGCCUGUAGCUAGCGUUCAUC
rnacentral:rRNA from 1 species